CAUAUCCUAGUUUAGUAAGAAUUGUGGUUUUGGGGACCACGGGGCCAGUAUUGGGGGUUUGG
rnacentral:tRNA from 1 species